ACUCACUACACUAACAUCCUUUUACUUUUCGGCAGACAGCAGGUCUCACUUUUCUGAAUUUUGGGAGAGAGUUAAGGAACUGUGAAGAAAUGAACAGAAAUCAGUAUGAUGUGUCUUUUUAUGCCGAUUUGUUUCGUUACCUCUUGUUCUUCAACUGGGCUUUGGUGAUUGCACUGAUUUGGAUUACAUACCUGGAAAUGGAUUUGAAAAGGAAAAUCAGAAAUUUCCAUCAAUCUCAAAAUUCCGCUGAUGCAAACAGCGUUUCUGAGAAUCUAUAGCCAUGAAGCGACCUUGAACCUUCACCACCAGGACAUGAUGGCACAUGUUGUAAUGAAAGUCUUGUUCUUUGCUUUGCUCGAGUGAUGUAUCUCUUCUUUGACCUCUUUUUGUUUUUGUCUAUCUGUUAAAUACAUUAUUGUAUUUUCACUUCUGCUUUGUCUGCUGUUG